GUUUUAGCUGAGCGGAUGAUUUUUGCGAAAUUGUGCAUUUUUUCAUUCCAGGCUCCAAGCAUCAACUGGACCAGAGAUGCUGUCUUGAGAAGACAUGCUCCAUGAGCCGGCCUCCCUCCAGGUCCGGGGACAGGACUCGGGUCCCGCUCUGGUCCAGCAGGACGGACAGCACAGCCUGGCUCAGGUCAGCCCGGUUCAGCUCGGAGCACCGAGACGCCACAUCGUCCCAGACUUCCACUGAAGAGCCAACGUCCUGCAGCAUCGCCUCCUCCAGAGCCCCUGAGAGGAUGGAGACACAGAAAGAACAGAACGCAGGAGCAGCUUUCAGUGUGAAGCUGCCAUCAGAGCGGUGUUAGUGCUCACCUUGUCCUCUACUGACACAGCUGUCCAGGAGCUGCAGAGCGAGCUGCUGCCGCUGAGGGUCGGCCAGGAGAGAGGAACAGGACACGCCUAACGACAAGAUGGCCGCCCGACCCUGCUGUGGCGCCGUCAACAGCUGGAUGAGGACAAGGCUGGGCGAGAGACUCAGAACCCACAUACAGUCCUCUGAGAGACAUUCAGAUUCAAUUAUAUAUUUUCACCGACAUUAACACAUUAUUAUUCAGAAACCAAAAGUGCCAUUCCAUUUUGCUAAAGUUUGAAUUAUUGUGUCCCUCGAUCAAUAUUGGGGCACUAAAUAAAGAGUUA